UACGGAGGGUGCAAGCGUUAUCCGGAUUCACUGGGUUUAAAGGGUGCGUAGGUGGGUCUGUAAGUCAGUGGUGAAAUCUCCGAGCUUAACUCGGAAACUGCCAUUGAUACUAUAGGUCUUGAAUUAUCUGGAGGUAAGCGGAAUAUGUCAUGUAGCGGUGAAAUGCUUAGAUAUGACAUAGAACACCAAUUGCGAAGGCAGCUUACUACGGAUUGAUUGACACUGAGGCACGAAAGCGUGGGGAGUCAAACAGGA
rnacentral:rRNA from 1 species